UAGACAUAUUUUUGUAUUCGACUGUAUUCACGCAUGAAACAGGGGAUUACAAUUGUUUUUAAAUGAAAAGUGAAUCAAUUAACAUAAUAGACUCCU
rnacentral:pre_miRNA from 1 species